UACAGAGGGGGCAAGCGUUUGUUCGGAAUUACUGGGCGUAAAGGGCGCGUAGGCGGCCUGUUAAGUCGAACGUGAAAUCCCCGGGCUCAACCCGGGAACUGCGUCCGAUACUGGCAGGCUUGAAUUCGGGAGAGGGAUGGCGGAAUUCCAGGUGUAGCGGUGAAAUGCGUAGAUAUCUGGAGGAACACCGGUGGCGAAGGCGGCGAUCCUGGACCGGUAUUGACGCUGAGGAGCGAAAG
rnacentral:rRNA from 1 species